AGAGGGCGAGAGGGCGAGAGGGAGCGAGUGCAAUCACGCGGCCGACGAGCCAUUAUCCGCGCGUCUGGCAGCCGUCGGCCCCGCUUGACAUUUCACUCGGUUCCCGCAUGAUGUAAUCUCGCAGUGAAAAGGCCAAUUUGUGCGCUGAAUUUGCGGCGCGCCUGUACUUGCCGCGCUGUCACGUCUAUUAUCACGGCACGGCGUUAGUUUGAACGAGCGUUCAGGGGAGGAUUUUGUUUUAUGUUACGAGCGUGUCAGCGCUACUUCGCACUUUGCGUGCGUUCAUUUAAACUUUCCUAGAGUUAUUACUCCUAUAUGAAUCCUAUAAAGGUGUUGAUAAAUUUGAGCGUUCACUUGUAACAAAACAUACGAGUAGAUACUCUAAGCGCACGAAACGCUUUGCGUCAUCAUUCUUUAUGCGCAUGGUUAGGGUUUGGAAUACUCUUCUAAGAUCAGUGUUUCCUGCCCAUUAUAAUCUGGGUAUCGUUUAAACAAGAGUAAAUAGGAACCUUCUAAUCAAACGUGUCCCAUCUUAGGACCACAUCAUCACUUCCCAUCAGGUGUGAUCAUGGUCAAGCGUGCGCCUAUACUUAAUUUAAAAAAAUUAUUGAAUUGAAUUGGAUA